CUUUGAGGAGAGGAGGGGGAGGGGGGAGGAAGAAGAGUUAAUGGAACUGGGUUGCGAAGAGGGGCGGGGAAGGAAGAGAGGAGGGAUACCAGUGGUGCACCGCAUCUCCAGUGAGAGGCAGCGAGAAGAGUGAGAAAGGUGGCUUAGAGCCCUGGCUCGGGUGGUUUCACUUGCUUAGGUAUAGAGGCAGAGGGGAAACUAAGGGAGGGCCGGCGGUGCAGCGAGGAGAAACCCUCAGGAGUGGUUGCUGAGGCCUGGUUGACAUAAAUGGAGGUUCUGCUGAAAUUUGAAAACUUCUGCCCUGUGGGCCCCAUCUUUGACCUGGAUGCUUGGUACAGCAGUGAACCCUUUGUAUUCCAGUCCCAGAUUUUGAGGCCAGGCCUGGUCAUUUUCUAGGAACGCAGCCCUGGACCAGUCUACUUUGCAGCUGGAACACAGAGACUAAGUAUUGGAAAAGACACCUGUCCAAGGAUACCCUGUAGCCCAGCUCAUCAAACUCCUUGAUGUUUCUUUUGGUCAGCUACGAAAUUCCAGAUUUCAUCUUGACCAAGAGAAGUAGAUUUCAAAUGCAGCUGAAACUGAACCUUGUCCUCUUUUCCCAGACCCACAAAUUGCUUGAGACUGACCACACAUUAUCACUCCCAGCCUCUGACUAUUUUGUAAAUGUCCUAGACUCUCCUCCCUGGGAUUCCCAAGCUUUCUCGAUGAAGUAUCAGUUGUUGUGUAAGUGAAACAACUUAUCUGGUGAACCUAUGGAAUGUCUCAAACUGCUGCACCUGUAGCUCCUCUCCCUUUGCCGUAUUACUUUAUAAGAACCCUAUCCACAGCCUACUCUUUGGGCUCCCCAGCACUUGCUGCUGUGUGGAACCCCAGUUGCAAUUUCCUUGCCUUUUGCUAUAUUGGCUACUUUCUCUUUAAUUCAGGUUGACAAAAAUAACACAAUAAUAAUAGGAAACUUUAAUAUCCCCUUCUCAAUUUUGGUAAGUCAAAUAGCAAAAAGAAAAAUGUGGAUCUGAACAGAUUGCUAGAGUAUCUAGAACCAAAAGACUUAUGGCAUCUUCUAAAUGGUUUGCAAAAGAAUAUAGGUAUUUCUUAGUACCAUAUGGAAAUUUUAUAAAAAAAAAACCUGUAUGAUGGCACAGAGAUAUUGCAAACAAAUAUAAAAAAGCAGAAAUAAUAAAUACAUCCUUUACAGAUCAUAAUAUAAUUAAAAGCCAUUGUUUCAGGGACCAUGUACAAAAUACAGAGACCCAAAUAUAAACAUAGCAAUGAAAUUCUAAAUAAUGAGUGGGUCAGGAAACAAAUCAUAGAAACAAUAAUUAUGUGAAAGAAAUAAUAAUGAUGAAGCAAUAUGCCAAAAUUUGAGGGAUAUAGCUAAAGCCAACAUUGGAGUAAAAUACAUAUCCAUACAAACAUCACCAAUAUGGAAAAAGAGAAGAUUAGUAAACUGAACACUAACUUAAAAAUUAGAAAGCCAAGAAACAAAGAAAACUAAAAUAAGCAGAAAAGAGAAGAUAUUAAAAAUUAAAAGAGGAAUAGAUAAGUCGGAAAUAAGAAAUACAUUAAAUGAUGAAUAAAACUAAACACUGAUUCUCUGAAAAGAUGAAUAAAGUUAAUCAAUUUUAGCGAAUCUGAUUAAAAAGAAGGGGCAGAAAAUUAUCAACAACAACUUAAUAUGAAGUUAUAUGCUAACAAAACUGAGAACAAACAAGAAGCAGAGGAAUACUUUAAAAAAUGUAAAAUAUCUAAACUGUCACAAGACCAGAGAGAGAUCUUAUAUGACCUAAUCUCAGAAAAGGCGAUACAUCUAGCUACAAAGGAAUUACCAAGACAGGAGAAAAACCUAACAACUCCUGGUACUGAUGGAUUCACAGGAGAAUUCUGUCAAAUUUUUAAAGAAAAAAUUAUUGUAAACUAUUCUCAAAAACUCAAAAAGGAAGCACCCUCCCAGAAUCUUUUUAUGAGACAAAUAUAGUCCUAAUACCUGAGGAUGGAAAGAUACAACACAGAAGGAAAACUGUAAGCUAAUAUCAUUCAUCAAUAUUGACUCAAAAAUUUUAAACAUGACUUCAGGUGCCAAGAUGGUACAGUGAGGAAGAAACCCUCUGAAGCUGUUCCAGAUUCUUCUCCAAGCAACUAGAAAACUGCCUCAGAAUUGAUCUAGGAGCAGGGAAGCUGAAGGUCUGUCUCACUGGGAGAGGGGAGCAAGGUGGAAGAGCAGCAGCAGCCCCAGGCAGCCUCACAGCAGGGGGCCUGAAGCAAGGCUCCAAGCCUGGGGCCAUCCAUCCUUAAGGCUCCACCCUCCUGCAAACCAGCCCCACAUCAAGACCCCACUCCUGCAACCCCAUCCCCAGCUCAAGCCACCAGCAAGGCCUUGACCCCAUUGCUGACUGGUCCUAAAGCCCCACAACAUGAUGGGCCAACAAGACUUCACCCUGAGCCUUACCAGCAGAGAGGCCCUGUUCCCAUAGCAACCCAGUAGCAGGGCCCCACCCUUGGAGCCAAUUAGCAAUAAGCUCCCUUCUCCAGGGCCAGCUACCAGAAAAACUGUUACCAUAGCAACCCAGCAGCAAGUCCCCACCCUAGGGGCAGGCAAGCAGCUAAACCCUACACCCAGAGGAGUCCAACAGGAAGGCCCGACCCCCCUAAUACAAGUCAGAAGGGAAGUCUACCCUCCAGAGAAAGCAAAAAGCUAAGCCCUGAAGCCCAGUGAAAGCCAGCAGUAAGACCUAGAGCCCCAGCCUAAAAAAAGCUUGGGACAGUGCAAGAUCAGAGUCUUCUCACAUGAAAACACCAAGUCACAAAAAAGGCAGAAAAAUGAGUUAAAAACAAAGAAGAGCUUCACUAUAGAAAGUUACUAUGGUAAUAGGGAUGAUGAUCAAAGCAUAAACUUAGAAAAGGACAAGAGUAUCAAAAUGGCUAUGUGUGAAGCCUCAAAGAAAAAUGUAAUUUGGUCUCUGGACCAAAAAAGAAUUCCUGGAAGAGCUUAAAAAGGAUUUUAAAAAGCAAGUUAUAGAAGCAGAAGAAAAACUGGCAAAGAAAUGAGAAUAAUGCAAGCAAAUCGUGAAAGAAGAGUCAAUAACAUGGGAAAAAAUAUGCAAAAAUUUAUCAAGGAAAAUAACCCCCUAAAAAUAGAAUUGGCCAAAUGGAAAAGAAAGUAUGA